rfam:Felis catus isolate Cinnamon breed Abyssinian chromosome F2, whole genome shotgun sequence.
ACCUGGGUGACUCAGUUGGUUAAGUGUCUGACUUCGGCUCAGGUCAUGAUCUCAUGGUUCGUGGGUUCAAGCCCCGUUUCAGGCU